rnacentral:lncRNA from 1 species
CCGGCUGACGUGGGCCUCGCCUCGGGCGACUCCCGCCGGGCUAGUGGCUGGCCGUGUGGUGACCUUGGGCGAGUUACUUCGCACAGCCACCCAGGGGCCUCUUCUCCAACACGAUAGCACUGCACCCGGAGGAUAAAGAACCACUGAGGAUAUGAGUUAUUCUUCCUACAGUUGUACAGCUUGUGAACAGUAGAGCUGGGGUCCGAGCCAGGUCUCUGACUCUGCAGCCUACCCUUGUCCUGCUUGAACACACUGAGGAAGACAGGAAUAACAGGACAUGGGUCAGAAGGCUUGGCUUCUGCUCCAGCUUUGAAGUUGAAGGAUUAGGUGACAGCUAACACUUGAUAGUAUUUUAUGGUUUCAAAGUGAUAACCAUGUAAUAUUUUAAUUGAUUCUCAGCCCAUUUUGUAGAUGAGGAAACUGAGGCUCACAGAUCUGAUGACUUCCUAAUUGUGGCAAACUACCAGCUACACAGUAGCUGGGCUGGCUUCGAACCAGGUCUUUUGACCCCAGAGUCUGUGCAGCUCACAAAUAAAGCUGAUUCUUUGACAAGUUAAGCCUCUUCUCUUGGAUUCAUUUUUCCAGUCUGUGAAAAUGAGGGAUUGGAUUAGAUUAGUAGGCAAUCACUAGUUCCCAGGCCCUUUUAUUUAAAGAAAAAAAGGAGAACCCAUAGAGUCUGGCAACUUAAACUUUUGCUAAGUAUGAACAC